UCAGACGAUGCGUCAUGCAUAUCAAUAAGCGGAGGAAAAGAAACUAACAAGGAUUCCCCUAGUAACGGCGAGUGAAGCGGGAAGAGCUCAAAUUUGAAAUCUUAAAGGGUUUCCCUUUACGAAUUGUAGUUUAAAGAAGUGUUUUCUGUUGAGGUUUUGGUAAAAGUUCUUUGGAAUAGGACAUCAUAGAGGGUGAGAAUCCCGUAUUUGACCUUUACUUUCAACUUUGUGAUACACUUUCAAAGAGUCGGAUUGUUUGGGAAUGCAGUCCAAAAUGGGUGGUAAAUUUCAUCUAAAGCUAAAUAUUGGCGAGAGACCGAUAGCGAACAAGUACCGUGAGGGAAAGAUGAAAAGAACUUUGAAAAGAGAGUUAAACAGUACGUGAAAUUGUCAAAAGGGAAGCGUUUGACACCAGUGUUGUUUUUCUGAAAAUCAAUUAAAGAACUGUUUAUGCUUAAGCUGUUUAGACUUUAUCAGCUAUCUGUUUAGUUUUGAGCUUUUCUUUAAUGCACUUUUCAGUUAACAAGUCAACAUCAAUUUCUUUUGCUGUAAAAAAGCUUGAGGAAGGUGGCUUGAGAUUCGUCUUAAGUGUUUAUAGCCUCUUGCCUAUGCAGUCGGAGAGAUUGAGGUCUGCAGCGUAGAUCCUUCGGGGCUAAAUGCAUUUGUGCUAAGUUAUAGCAUUUUAUAGACAACUUGUUGACUAUGAUUUGUCUUGUAGCUUACUCGCUUAUGUUAUUUUACCUACGCUUAGGAUGUUGACACACGCGCGUGCUCG
rnacentral:rRNA from 1 species